CCUACGGGGGGCAGCAGUGGGGAAUAUUGGACAAUGGGGGCAACCCUGAUCCAGCCAUGCCGCGUGUGUGAAGAAGGCCCUCGGGUUGUAAAGCACUUUCAGUGAGGAAGAACGCCUGGUGGUUAAUACCCAUCAGGAAAGACAUCACUCACAGAAGAAGCACCGGCUAACUCCGUGCCAGCAGCCGCGGUAAUACGGAGGGUGCGAGCGUUAAUCGGAAUUACUGGGCGUAAAGCGCGCGUAGGUGGCUUGAUAAGCCGGUUGUGAAAGCCCCGGGCUCAACCUGGGAACGGCAUCCGGAACUGUCAAGCUAGAGUGCAGGAGAGGAAGGUAGAAUUCCCGGUGUAGCGGUGAAAUGCGUAGAGAUCGCGAGGAAUACCAGUGGCGAAGGCGGCCUUCUGGACUGACACUGACACUGAGGUGCGAAAGCGUGGGUAGCACACAGGAUUAGAUACCCUAGUAGUA
rnacentral:rRNA from 1 species